CUGCUUCUCUAUAGCUCUGGCAGGCUGUCCUCCUGCUCCUUUGUAUAAACUAAGGAAAUGUUGAAUGGGGAGUGUAAAAGAAGGUGAAAGGGAAGAAAAAAUGACAUGUAUUUUGCAGCUGUCUUGCUGAAAGCUGAUCUCUCCCAGGCUGACAGCAAUGUGAGGAGCAGAGGGAAGAGGCAGUGUGCUGUGCUGAUAAAGUUUCCUUGCUCAGAUGAGUUUUGGUGCUGGUCCUGUGGAAGGUGCCUGGCUGCAAAAAGGCCCUCCCCAUCUUUCCUACGUGCUCAGCUUCCUUCUGACUGAGCCUUCCUGCUUCCUCUGUUCAUUUCUGUAAUUCACUCCCACUCUUUACUACUUUGCAGGAGGUGCUAGAGCAGAACGUAGCAAAGGACAACCCAUCUCCAAGCACCUGAAUCGCGUCCUUUUGGUCUUGCUUUAAAGAGAGCCUGUUCCAUGUUCCACAUAGCCUGAUGCUCAAAAAGAAGUUUUGCAUCAAGAGCUGCUCCACAACUUCUCAGAAGUCGUUACCUGGAAGCUGCAUCCUUCAUUAAUCUCAUGCAUGGCAAAGAGACGUCUGCUCACAGCUUCCCCCAGAGUGCCUUUUUUAUGUGCUGCUGCAGCAGGAGAGAAAGUUUUGGUGGCGAUGCUGGAAGGUAACAGAAGAAGAGGUGUGCUCAGCCUCUUACACUGCACAGAAUGCAUCCCUGUGUGCUUGGGGUCGCACGAGGGGUCAGCACAGUGUGUGUUCCCAGUGCCUUUUUCCACGCCACGCUGACAUUGAGCCUCCUCACCUCCAUCCACAUCCAUCUGUUGUUCCCUCCGUCAGCGACUUUGUGAGAUGAUUGAUCUCAGACUUAGGUCAUUUUUCAAGUUGCAGAUCUUGUCAAUCUGUCUGGCUCCACCUACAUGCAGUGAUUCAGCUCCUGAUGUGCUGAAAUAUUCCCCUAAGCCUUCCCACACACCACCGAGGGCUUUUUUUAUAGUUCUUCUCCAGGCUGCACCACCUCUCCUGCGCUGUGCUCAAAGCAUGUAUUCUUUGCAUGAUGUUUGCAUGCUUUCUUUCGCUUGGAGAACAGUGCAGAAAGUCAAGUUAGAGCUCCUGAAGACUUAGAAGAGCCACUGCAAAACACACUCCCCACCUAAAUGCUGCAUCCUGUGUAUCACAUUUGGCUAAUGUGCUGUGAUUAAAGGCGCUGGAGACAA